AAUAGAUACCCAGGUAGUCCUAGCCGUAAACGAUGCAUACUGGAUGUAGGAAGGCUCAACCCUUUCUGUAUCGGAGCUAACGCGUUAAGUAUGCCGCCUGGGGAGUACGCCCGCAAGGGUGAAACCCAAAAGAAUUGACGGGGGCCCGCACAAGCAGUGGAGCAUGUGGUUUAAUUCGAUGCAACGCGAAGAACCCUACCCAGGCUCGAAGUGUAGAGAAAAACAGCAGAAAUGUUGCGUCCCGCAAGGGGUUCUAUAUAGGUGCUGCAUGGCUGUCGUCAGCUCGUGCCGUGAGGUGUUGGGUUAAGUCCCGCAACGAGCGCAACCCUUAUUGUCAGUUGCCAACGCGUGAAGGCGGGGACUCUGGCAAGACUGCCCAGGUUAACUGGGAGGAAGGUGAGGAUGACGUCAAGUCCGCAUGGCCUUUAUGUCUGGGGCUACACACGUGCUACAAUGGUCGGUACAGAGGGCAGCGAAGCCGCGAGGCGGAGCAAAUCCAAAAAACCGAUCUCAGUUCAGAUUGCAGU
rnacentral:rRNA from 1 species